rnacentral:rRNA from 1 species
UACGUAGGUGACAAGCGUUGUCCGGAUUUACUGGGCGUAAAGAGCGCGCAGGCGGUCGAUCAAGUCGAGUGUGAAAGCCCCCGGCUCAACUGGGGAGGGUCAUUCGAUACUGUUCGACUCGAAGGCAGGAGAGGGUAGUGGAAUUCCAGGUGUAGCGGUGAAAUGCGUAGAUAUCUGGAGGAACACCGGUGGCGAAGGCGGCAUCCUGGACCAACACUGACGCUGAGGAGCGAAAGCCAGGGGAGCAAACGGG